GUACUCCUUGUACCUCUCCCAAGCUUCAUGAAAAGGUUCAUCAGACUUCUGCUUGAAAUUGGAGAUCAUGUGUC
rnacentral:snoRNA from 1 species